GGUGGGAAGAGUGGAAGCAGAGGUGGAAGUUGCUGAUUUGAUGCACAGAUCAAAAGGAGUCAAAUAUAUUGGGCGAGAUCCAAUAUUAAUUUAUAAAUGGGAGGAAGGGUUGUGAGAAUUUAAAUAAGGAAGAAAAGAGCGAAAAAAAGAGAGAAGAGAAAAUGUGUGGGAUAUUUGCGUAUCUGAAUUACAACGUGCAGAGAGAGAGAAGUUACAUCUUGCAGGUGCUCUUCAAUGGCCUCAGAAGAUUGGAAUAUCGCGGUUACGAUUCCGCCGGAGUCGCCAUCGACGAUUCUUCUUCUCACCAAUGCUCUUCCAAUUGCAAUUCCACUCCAUCUCCUCCUCUCGUUUUUCGCCGAGAGGGAAACAUCGAAUCUCUCGUCAAAUCCGUUUAUCAAGAAGUUGGAGAAACAGAACUGAACUUGGAGGAAUGCUUUUGCACGCACGCUGGAAUUGCGCACACUCGUUGGGCGACUCAUGGAGAACCUGCUCCGAGGAACAGCCAUCCACAGACGUCUGGUCCAGGAAACGAGUUCUUGGUUGUUCACAAUGGAGUUAUCACUAAUUAUGAGGUUUUGAAGGAGACGCUGGUACGACAUGGCUUUACCUUUGAAUCUGAAACUGACACUGAAGUCAUUCCCAAGCUUGCGAAGUAUGUUUACGACAAAGCGAAUGAGGCAGAUGGUGAUCAGGCUGUUACCUUUAGUCAAGUUGUUCUGGAAGUUAUGAGGCAUCUUGAAGGAGCCUAUGCUCUUAUUUUCAAAAGUCCACAUUAUCCUAAUGAGUUGAUUGCUUGUAAGCGUGGCAGCCCACUGCUGUUAGGUGUUAAAGAAUUGACAGAAAAUAAGGACAAUGGUUCAGCAUUUGAGGAUAGCAAAUUCCUGUCAAAAGAUGGACAGCCCAAAGAACUCUUUUUGUCCAGUGAUGCCAAUGCAGUGGUUGAGCACACAAAGAAAGUGCUGGUUAUUGAGGAUGGUGAAGUAGUUCAUCUCAAGGAUGGUGGGGUUUCUAUUUUGAAGUUUGAGAAUGACAAGGUAGAACGCAGUGCUUCUCUUUCCAGAACUUCUUCAGUGUGCCGUGCAUUAUCUGUUCUUGAGAUGGAGGUUGAGCAAAUCAAUAAAGGUCAUUAUGAGCAUUAUAUGCAGAAGGAAAUUCAUGAGCAACCAGAAUCUCUAACAACCACAAUGAGGGGGAGGCUUAUACAACGAGGAUCUAAUAAAUCCAAGUCUGUUCUAUUGGGCGGACUGAAGGAUCACCUUAAAACAAUUAGGCGAAGUAGAAGGAUAGUUUUCAUUGGUUGUGGUACAAGUUAUAAUGCUGCUUUGGCAGCUAGGCCCAUCUUGGAAGAACUUUCUGGUAUUCCUGUUACUAUGGAAAUUGCCAGUGAUUUAUUGGAUCGGGAGGGACUAAUAUAUCGAGAAGAUACAGCUGUUUUUGUUAGUCAAUCUGGUGAAACUGCAGAUACUUUACUUGCACUGCAAUAUGCUUUAGACAAUGGUGCAUUAUGUGUUGGAAUAACAAACACUGUUGGUAGUGCAAUAGCAAGGAAUACACAUUGUGGUGUUCAUAUAAAUGCUGGUGCUGAGAUUGGUGUGGCAAGUACCAAGGCAUACACCAGUCAAAUAGUAGUGAUGGUCAUGUUAGCUCUUGCAAUAGGUGGCGACACAAUUUCCAAUCAAGCCAGAAGAGAAGCUAUUAUAGAUGGUCUUUUUGACCUGCCAAAUAAAGUUAGAGAGGUGUUGAAGCUUGAUCUGGAGAUGAAGGAUCUAGCAAAAUUGUUGAUUGCUGAGCAGUCUCUUCUUGUCUUUGGGAGAGGAUACAACUAUGCAACUGCUCUUGAGGGAGCUUUGAAAGUAAAGGAAGUGGCACUUAUGCAUAGUGAAGGGAUACUUGCUGGUGAAAUGAAGCAUGGUCCUUUGGCAUUAGUGGAUGAAAAUCUUCCGAUUUUUGUUGUAGCUACACGUGAUACUGGCUUCAGCAAACAACAGUCUGUUAUUCAGCAACUUCAUGCCCGCAAAGGUCGCUUGAUAGUUAUGUGUUCUAAAGGGGAUGCUGCUUCUGUAUGCCCCAAUGAAUAUUGUAGGGUAAUUGAAGUUCCACAGGUUGAAGACUGUCUUCAACCUGUGAUUAAUGUGGUUCCGUUACAGUUAUUGGCAUAUCAUCUCACUGUACUCAGGGGAUUUAAUGUCGAUCAGCCACGUAAUCUUGCCAAGAGUGUCACCACGCAAUAAAGAAGUUUGUUGACUUUUUACACCCCGCACCACGCAAGAAAAAGUUUGUUGACUGCCCUUUAUUUCUUUGAAUCUGACAAAAAAUAAUAUCAAGGCCAUCGAAAAGCUUCCCUUGCUCUGAGACAUGACAUGGCAUAUUACCGCAAUGUAAAUUAAUAGGUGUAGGCUUACUGGUGGAUCUACAACCCACCUUCUUACCAGUCAGAAUAGACAACCAUCAUUUCCUGAGGGAAUAAAAAGCCUAAACAACGAGACAAAAACACAAGCUAAUGUGGGGGGAGAAAAAAGAAAAGCAGGAACAGCAUCCUUACAUCGAUCCCCAACUUGGUUGGAUUUUAAAAUAUUUUAGUCUUGUCUUAUUUUUUUAAUAUUCGUACUUUACUUUUAUCAUCUCAUAGGUGAGUGACGCUAAUGUUCCCAAGCAUUAUUCCAAAAUUGAGAUGAAGGUUAAGUUCAGUAUUAAUAGUACUUCACAUUUCACCUAAUUAUGACCACUUCUUCCUUAUUGAGAAUAAGGAAUCAUUUUAUCACCCGUAUAAUAAAAACUUGAAAGCAAUGAUAUUCCCCACUAAAAUCCUGAACAAUAAGAAACCAAAAGAAUAAGAUAAAAUUACUGAACAUAAUUUGGAUUAAAUGCUCCCCCACCCUUAUAAAAUAAAAAGAAAAAACAAAAGACUUAAAAUGAUUCAGUCACAUUAACUUGUUUGAAAGUUGAAACAAAAAAAGUUCACUAGAACACAGUGCAAUCAUGUGAAAG